ensembl:lncRNA
AGCAAGAGCUCCAAGUUGCAAAAGGUCAAUUCGUAUAGAUUGAUUACCUCAAUCAGGGAUAUUUCAUAAUCUAUAGGAGAAUAUUAUGAAGAAUGGAUUUUUAAAAUGUAUGCACAUGGUGUGCAUGUAAAUAAGAUAGCUAUAGAAAAAACUCACAGAAAUUCUAAUAUUUAUUAUAACAUAAUCUAGUAGUUUACAUGUUUUGCUUUCUAAUUCAUGUAAGUAGUGGGAAAAAAAGGAAAUCAUUCAAAUUAGAAAAAUUAGAAUUUUAGGCCAAAUUCUAAAUAAUAUAUAAUGACUCAACCAAGCUUUCUUAGCACAAAAGCAUUGCUAAAAAGAGUACACCUAGGGUUUGUUUGUAUCAUUGUUUUUUAAUCUGUUAAUUUUUGUGUCAUUUGCAUUUGCUUGCAUGCUAAGGUAGGUGGUUGAUCACAACUUAUUUAAUAAGGAAAAUCAGCUAAUAGGACAUAAAAUAAUCACAAAAAAGAAUGAAACAUCAAAAAAAGCCAGGAAAGUGGUAUUAACAAAAAAUAAAACUGAGUUCCCCUUUGGGUUAGAAUGUAGAGGGUAAUGAAAGAUUGUUGCUCCCACUAAAACAAUAGAUAAUUACAAGAUAAGCAACCCAAAAAAAUAGAUUUCUUUAAAGCUGUUGAGAAGUGUUUGACACAAUGAUAUCUAAAGGAACUAAAUUUUAGAGUCGCAUAAGCACUUUUUAGUGACAACGGACAUUUUCAUCCCUAGGGCUCAUGGCAGAGGUUGCACACACACUAAAGCAUAGGAGGAAUCCUGCCAGAGAAGGACCGUCUUUGCUCAGAGCCUGGAAAGUUAUCACUCCUGUCCUUACCACAAGAAAGAAGGCAGAAAAACUAAAUAUCAAUGACUUUUCUUAGAUUCUUCAGAGAACUGAGGUCACAGGCAAACUGUUAAAUGGCAAUCUAGAGGAUCGCAGUCAGGAUCAGUUUACUUGAAGCAGAAGCUACUGGAGCCAAAAGCUAGUAGGAACACUUAUGUAUUCCUACUGGAUAAAUUGCUGGAGGCUGUGUGGACUGAAUUGAGAGUGGAAAAACUCCUAUUAGCCUAGGCUUAUGAAGAACUCCAUACUUUUGUGGGUUUUAGCUCCAGGUACCCCAUCAGGUACUCAGUGGAAAAAUCAGAGAAAAAUCUCUCAAGUUUCUGGUUGUGGGGGGUGGGUGGUGGUAACAUUUUUACAUACACCUGGAUCAUCAGAUUAUUCUCCAUGACAAAGGCCUACUUUCCCAGGAAAACUACAGCUCAGAGCCUUAUCUAUCUGGUGGGAAGGUCAUUUGCAGACUCCAUCUGCCUCUUGCCUUCUUGUCUUACCUGAAAUUAGAGAUAAUAAUGCUAAGAAUCAUCUCAUAAUAUUGUAGCUCAAGGUCUCAGACCCACUGAAAGACUGAUUUUUAAUCAUGAGUUUGUAGAAUGUUUACCCUCCACCACAUCUUACCACCACAGCUAUUAAAGAAGGUGCUUUUAGAGUAACCCAAAGACAAUAGGAGAAAGGAAAAAAGCAAACAAGUACAGAAAGAAGCUUAAGCCUCUGGCAGCUGUGGCCACAGCAAACAUUAAACAUAGCCCAGCCCCCAGCCAGAUUGUCAUGUUAAGAAAACCUCACACUAACGGCCUAUUUUUCUCAUUCCUUUACCCAAUUCUAUUGUCUAUUUUUUUUCCUCCUCUUACUUUCUCUGACACACAGCUGUAGUUAAUCGUAUUUGCAAUGUGGAAUAUAUGAAAAAAAUAGAAUUUUGACUGUAAUAUUCAGUUAACCCAAAAGAAGGGAGUAAAGAAAGAGCAGAAAAGCACAACUACCUGGAAAAAAGAAAACAAAUAGCAAUAUGCUAGAAACAAAUCCAAUUGCUUCAAUAAUGAUGUUAAAUAAAGAGACUACGCACAUCAAUUAAAAGGCAGAAGUGGUCAGACUGGAUGCAAACGCAACAUCUAACUAUAUGCUGUGUACAAGAUUCACAUUUGAAAGUAAAAUAAAGAUUUAUUCUGGGACUAGUAAGUGCAAGAAAGCUGGGUAGGCUAUAUUAACAUCAAAAAAAAAAAAAAAAAAAAAACCCAAAAAGGCCUCAGUGCAAAGAGCAUCACAGAGACAUAGACAUAUUUAGAAUAAAACAAAACUGUAAAACCUAGGAGACUGAAUAUCAAUAAGCUCAAAUAAAAUAAAAUAGCCAAA